UUAGUAACGGCGAGUGAAGCGGCAACAGCUCAAAUUUGAAAUCUGGCGUCUUUGGCGUCCGAGUUGUAAUUUGCAGAGGGCGCUUUGGCAUUGGCAGCGGUCCAAGUUCCUUGGAACAGGACGUCACAGAGGGUGAGAAUCCCGUACGUGGUCGCUAGCCUUUACCGUGUAAAGCCCCUUCGACGAGUCGAGUUGUUUGGGAAUGCAGCUCUAAAUGGGAGGUAAAUUUCUUCUAAAGCUAAAUACUGGCCAGAGACCGAUAGCGCACAAGUAGAGUGAUCGAAAGAUGAAAAGCACUUUGGAAAGAGAGUUAAAAAGCACGUGAAAUUGUUGAAAGGGAAGCGCUUGCAGCCAGACUUGCCUGUAGUUGCUCAUCUAGGUUUCUACCUAGUGCACUCUUCUAUAGGCAGGCCAGCAUCAGUUUGGGCGGUUGGAUAAAGGUCUCUGUCAUGUACCUCUCUUCGGGGAGAACUUAUAGGGGAGACGACAUGCAACCAGCCUGGACUGAGGUCCGCGCAUCUGCUAGGAUGCUGGCGUAAUGGCUGUAAGCGGCCCGUCUUGAAACACGGACCAAGGAGUCUAACAUCUAUGCGAGUGUUUGGGUGUCAAGCCCGAACGCGUAAUGAAAGUGAACGGAGGUGGGAACCUUUCGGGGUGCACCAUCGACCGAUCCUGAUGUCUUCGGAUGGAUUUGAGUAAGAGCAUAGCUGUUGGGACCCGAAAGAUGGUGAACUAUGCUUGAAUAGGGUGAAGCCAGAGGAAACUCUGGUGGAGGCUCGCAGCGGUUCUGACGUGCAAAUCGAUCGUCAAAUUUGGGCAUAGGGGCGAAAGACUAAUCGAACUAUCUAGUAGCUGGUUCCUGCCGAAGUUUCCCUCAGGAUAGCAGUAACGUUUUCAGUUUUAUGAGGUAAAGCGAAUGAUUAGAGGCCUGGGGGUUGAAACAACCUU
rnacentral:rRNA from 1 species